CACUCCUGCGGGAGGCAGCAGUGGGGAAUUUUGGACAAUGGGGGCAACCCUGAUCCAGCAAUGCCGCGUGAGUGAAGAAGGCCUUCGGGUUGUAAAGCUCUUUUGUCAGGGAAGAAACGGUGGUGGCGAAUAACUACUACUAAUGACGGUACCUGAAGAAUAAGCACCGGCUAACUACGUGCCAGCAGCCGCGGUAAUACGUAGGGUGCAAGCGUUAAUCGGAAUUACUGGGCGUAAAGCGUGCGCAGGCGGUUGUGUAAGUCAGAUGUGAAAUCCCCGGGCUCAACCUGGGAAUUGCAUUUGAGACUGCACGGCUAGAGUGUGUCAGAGGGGGGUAGAAUUCCACGUGUAGCAGUGAAAUGCGUAGAUAUGUGGAGGAAUACCGAUGGCGAAGGCAGCCCCCUGGGAUAACACUGACGCUCAUGCACGAAAGCGUGGGGAGCAAACAGGAUUAGAUACCCGAGUAGUCCCAUG
rnacentral:rRNA from 1 species